rnacentral:lncRNA from 1 species
GACCUUGUCCCCUCUUGAAUAAUUAUGACCGGUUUAGACAUUAGUGCCUCCCAUUCUCAUGAUUUAUUCAUCGGCUUCUAGCUUGCUGUGCACUGCUCUGGUCAAUCAGAGGUUGCACCGGUAGGCGUGCUAGCGAUCCAUACAUAGGUUACUGCAGUUGUGGCACAUAUGACUUUUUGUUGUGAAUCGGUCCGGCAACUAUAGUUGCUCGGUUGAAGUUACCUGCAGCGGUGGGAUUGGCUACUUCCGAGUGGCGCGUGCUGGGUGAACAUGUAGACGGUAUUCUAUUUGGCCUUUAGAUCUAUUUAUCCUUAUAUUAUGGUCGAAUUAGACUAUUGGAAAUAGAAAGUCCAUAGACAUUUCAGUUCAGUAUAUUUGGCUAGGCGGUGUAGCUUUUUUAUUCGCUCUGUUGUGGUAGUAGGCUAAAAUAACGUCAGCUGUAGCGAUCAAUUUCACUUGAGGAUCCCAAAGAAACCGUCUGGUUGCAGUUCUCUACAGCGGCUACCGGUUGUCGGCAGGCUAUUUGCUGCGACUGAUGCGAAGCGGCUAGUGAGGCUGGAGAGAGAGUCAAGCAAGAGAGCUGUGCUGGGUGUCUGCCCCCUUUGUAGUGGGAUCAGGAUCAGGACUAUGGUUCAUGUUCAUCAUAGAGACAUGUAGCACCUCACUGCCUCAGUAUCUGGACACCUCCAGACACCUGAACACCUGAACACCUCCGAACACCUGCCUAGCCUGCUGUCUACUCAUGAUUUCUGUGUGGUAACUGUGGCGAUCUGCUGCUGCUGUAGCCAUGUUUAGGAACAGCUUGAAGAUGUUGCUGACGGGCGGCAAGGCCAACCGCAAGAAACGCAACAGUGAUGGAGGGAGUGAGGACCUGCCAGAACCCCGAUCGCCCAGUGUAGAGCACCACCACCACCUGAGCCACACCGGUCAAGGAGUAGGCAAUGUUGCAGCACCUGCUAACCCCAUCCCAGGUCACCACAACUACUGCAAUUCCCCACCAGUAGAAAACAACCCAUGUGAUCCUCACCGCCGCACAACUUGUUUUUUGAAACUUAAUUGUUGAUUCUUAAAUCAAUCAAUAUCACCCGUGUUCACAUUUGACAUAAUUACUGUUCUGUUUUUAUAGUAUUAC